UACGAAGGGUGCAAGCGUUACUCGGAAUUACUGGGCGUAAAGCGUGCGCAGGCGGUUUGUUGUGUUGGCGGUGAAAGCCCCGGGCUCAACCUGGGAAUGGCCGUUGAAACUGGCGAACUGGAGUGUGGCAGAGGGGGGUGGAAUUCCGCGUGUAGCAGUGAAAUGCGUAGAGAUGCGGAGGAACACCGAUGGCGAAGGCAGCCCCCUGGGCUAACACUGACGCUCAGGCACGAAAGCGUGGGGAGCAAACAGG
rnacentral:rRNA from 1 species